rnacentral:rRNA from 1 species
ACAAGUACCGUGAGGGAAAGUUGAAAAGCACUUUGAAGAGAGAGUUAAAGAGGACGUGAAACCGAUAAGAAGGAAACGGAUAGAGUCAACGUAUCUAGCUUGUAUUCAGCUGCCGCCUAUAGCCAAUCGCAUUGUUCCGUUCGCGUCGUCUGGCGUCGGAUGGACGGUGUGGCAAGUGGGCGUUUGGUGGUAGUGCAUUUGCAAGUGGAGUGCGCUGAGACUUGUCGCCCGGUGGUUGACUACCCAUCAAGAGGCCACACCUUCGCGGGUGUGUAACCCAGUUGGGAGUAAAGCUAUCCCCGCUUCAUGUACUCGAUCGUGGUUGAGGUUGGUCGGCGUUGGCUGGGCCACUUGUAACGGUCGCAUGCGACACGUGCUUGUGUGUUCGGUCGAUGUUGGCUGGUCUUUCGCGGUCGCUCUCGGUGUAAAAGUUGGUCAUCUAUCCGACCCGUCUUGAAACACGGACCAAGGAGUUUAGCGUGUACGCGAGUCAUUGGGUGUGUUGAAAACCCAAAGGCGCAAUGAAAGUGAACAGAAAUGGAUAUGCGAUCGAGUGUACUUCGGUGCGCCCGAGCAGCAUUGCCCCGUCCCAAUCGCUUGCGAUGGGGCGGAGGUAGAGCGUAUUCGCUGAGACCCGAAAGAUGGUGAACUAUUCCUGAGCAGGACGAAGCCAGAGGAAACUCUGGUGGAAGUCCGAAGCGGUUCUGACGUGCAAAUCGAUCGUCUGACUUGGGUAUAGGGGCGAAAGACUAAUCGAACCAUCUAGUAGCUGGUUCCUUCCGA